rnacentral:piRNA from 1 species
UCACGGCCUUCCCACACUUUGUCCUCAC